GAAAAUUUGAUAUAAUAUAUAAAUAAUAUUAUAUAAUAUUGAAUAUUUAAUAAUAAUAAUAAUAAUAUAAUAUUUAGAAUUUUAUAUACUAUAAAUUUUGAAUUUAUGUUUAUUAUAUAACAUAUCAGAUCAGCUUAGGUUAGGUUAGAUUAGGUUAAAUUUAAUUUAUGUUAAACUGAAAUAAGAUGUGUAACGAAUCGUCGUAAUUUUAUUUAUGUCUUGAUUGGGAAUGAGAUUAUAUAAAAAGAGAUAUAGAUUUUAAAUCAAUUUUAUUAUUAAGUUGUAAAUGAAAAUUAAAAUUGACAUGAUAUUUGGAAUGUUAUGUAUUACAAAUUUUAAAUUUAUGUUUAUCAUAUGAUGCAUCAAGUUAAGUUUAGGUUACGUUAUUACAAUUUAAUCAAGUUAAGUUAUUUCCUUAUUACAUCAGGUUAGAUUAUUACUUUUUCAUUAGAUUAUUACUAUUUUAUUAUAUUAUUAAAUAUCUUAUAUUUAGCUUCAACUCUCGAAGGAUGACUGAAUGCUCAUUACUGGUAACCUAGCGAUCCACGCUCCGCCAUUUUCUCAAUCAACAAUCGAGAUCAACCUCGAAACCUUCUCUAACCUCAAACAUCGAUCAAUUCUCGUCAACGUUCCCGCAAAAGGGAACGCAACGCGUGGCACGACUUUUACAAAGAUUUCCGUGGCAUGGCGUCUUGCACAAUCUUCUCGAAUCGUCAUAAAUCAUGUCGACGGAUUGCGUGGGCGGCUAUGGAACACGCUCUAACCCCUUUCCAAGUGAUGCAUAGUAACAUUUUAUAGGAUUUUUACGCACCGUCACAAUUCAUCCGUUAAUGACACCGACAUUGGUAAAAGUAUAAUAAUAAUAAUAAUUAUUUUUUUUUUAUUCCUUUUUCCUUUUUUCGAGCGAACAUUAAUCAAGCGUGAAUAUAUAUCGAAUCGUUAUGGUUUUUUAUAAUUUAAUUUAUGCGUUUUUUAUUUAUUAAUUUCGAACAUUAAAACUUUUGUAAUUUAUAUAACUUUUUAUUGCAAGAUUUUUUUUUUUUUUUAAUAUUACUUCUCACUUUCUUUUUGAUAUUUUAUGUAAUGUGUAAUUUAUAAAUAUUAUAGUCGUGAAAUUAAAUUUAGCUUGACAAUUUAUUUAUUUAUCUUUUUAACUUUUUAAUCGAUCAGAUGAGUCUCUUUUGCAAGUGUCGAUCAAGCUUAAAUUUGAAAAUCGUCAAUUAAAUAAGAUUGUGUAACACGAAAUCAAAGAUUCGCGAAUUUCUAGCAUUCAAUGCAAUCAAAGAAAUGCGAGUAUGUAAUUAUAUUGGUGAAAAUAUAACGAAAAUGUAACGAGAGUACAAAAAAAAAGGCGAACUCACUCAUUAUGUACACGCAAUCUGGCAUUCCGUGUGUCGAACGUAUAAAGAGCGCCUCUUAAAAGUGUGUUCAGUAUGGACGAAAAAUCUGCUUGAUAAAAUGGACUUACCUGAAACAAAGGAAAAAAAAACAUUUAAAAAUAUUAUUGAAAUAUGUACAUAUAUAUAUAUUUAUUACAUAUGUAUUCUUCCCUAAUGCAACUUCUUCGAUUGUUAAUAAAAUAAAAAAAUUAUAAUUAAUA